rnacentral:tRNA from 1 species
GCGGGUGUGGCGGAACUGGUAGACGCACCGGAUUUAGGUUCCGGCGCCUUUGGCGUGGGGGUUCAAAUCCCUUCACCCGCACCA